rnacentral:rRNA from 1 species
UACAGAGGUGGCAAGCGUUGUUCGGAAUUACUGGGCGUAAAGCGCACGUAGGCGGCUUCGUAAGUCGGAUGUGAAAGCCCCGGGCUCAACCCGGGAACAGCACCCGAAACUGCUUAGCUUGAAUGCUUGAGAGGUUGGUGGAAUUCCAGGUGUAGGAGUGAAAUCCGUAGAUAUCUGGAGGAAUAUCGGAGGCGAAGGCGGCCA